rnacentral:rRNA from 1 species
GACGAACGCUGGCGGCGUGCUUAACACAUGCAAGUCGAACGGAAAUGCCCUGCUUUUGUGGGGUGCUCGAGUGGCGAACGGGUGAGUAACACGUGAGUAACCUGCCCUUGACUUUGGGAUAACUUCAGGAAACUUGGGCUAAUACCGGAUAGUAGCUCCUGCUGCAUGGUGGGGGUUGGAAAGUUUCGGCGGUUGGGGAUGGACUCGCGGCUUAUCAGCUUGUUGGUGGGGUAGUGGCUUACCAAGGCUUUGACGGGUAGCCGGCCUGAGAGGGUGACCGGCCAAAUUGGGACUGAGAUACGGCCCAGACUCCUACGGGAGGCAGCAGUGGGGAAUAUUGCACAAUGGGCGGAAGCCUGAUGCAGCAACGCCGCGUGCGGGAUGACGGCCUUCGGGUUGUAAACCGCUUUCGCCUGUGACGAAGAGUGAGUGAAGGUAAUGGGUAAAGAAGCACCGGCUAACUACGUG